rnacentral:rRNA from 1 species
UACGUAGGUGGCAAGCGUUAUCCGGAAUUAUUGGGCGUAAAGAGCGCGCAGGUGGUUGAUUAAGUCUGAUGUGAAAGCCCACGGCUUAACCGUGGAGGGUCAUUGGAAACUGGUCGACUUGAGUGCAGGAGAGGUUAUCGGAAUUCCCGGUGUAGCGGUGAAAUGCGUAGAGAUCGGGAGGAACACCAGUGGCGAAGGCGGGUAACUGGACUGCAACUGACGCUGAGGCGCGAAAGUGUGGGGAGCAAACAGGAUUAGAUACCCGGGUAGUCCCUGA